UGGACCUCAGAUCAGGCAAGAUCACCCGCUGAGUUUAAGCAUAUCACUAAGCGGAGGAAAAGAAACUAACGAGGAUUUCCCUAGUAACGGCGAGCGAACCGGAAGUAGCCCAGCUU
rnacentral:rRNA from 1 species